rnacentral:rRNA from 1 species
UACGACUACAUAUCAGGCAUAUCAAUAAGCGGAGGAAAAGAAACUAACUAGGAUUCCCUCAGUAACGGCGAGUGAAGCGGGAAGAGCUCAAAUUUGAAAUCUUCAAGGUUUUACCUUGACGAAUUGUAGUUUAAAGAAGUGUUUUCUGUUGGUAGUUUUAGUAAAAGUUCUUUGGAAUAGGACAUCAUAGAGGGUGAGAAUCCCGUAUUUGACCAUUACUUUCCAGCGUUGUGAUACACUUUCAAAGAGUCGGAUUGUUUGGGAAUGCAGUCCAAAAUGGGUGGUAAAUUUCAUCUAAAGCUAAAUAUUGGCGAGAGACCGAUAGCGAACAAGUACCGUGAGGGAAAGAUGAAAAGAACUUUGAAAAGAGAGUUAAACAGUAUGUGAAAUUGUCAAAAGGGAAGCGUUUGACACCAGUGUUGUUUUUCUCGAAAAUCAAUUAAAAAUGACCGGAUUUUGUGUUGUAUUGACUUUAUCAGCUUUCUGCACUUUUUUCUUGUCUUUUUUAAUGCACUUUUCGUUUAACAAGUCAACAUCAAUUUCUUUUGUUGUAAAAGAGUCAUUGGAAGGUGGCUUUCACUUCGGUGAAAGUGUUUAUAGCCUUUGACUUCUGCAAUCGGAGAGAUUGAGGUCUGCAGCGAAGAUCCUUCGGGGUUAGAUACAUUUGUGCUAAGUUAUAGUUUUUCAUAGACAACAUGUUGACUAUGAUUAAUCAUGUAGCUUACUCGCUUAUGCUAUUUUACCUACGCUUAGGAUGUUGAUCUCUCACAGUCGAGC